ACAUUUACCUUUACUCUGUGCACCCACUGCUCUUUGCACCUCCCUUUAGCUCUAUUCCCGGAAGAAUGUAAUACAAGUGUGAAAGAGCAACAUAACAAAACAAAACUUUCGGCAACGGAUCUCUUGGCUCUCGCAUCGAUGAAGAACGCAGCGAAAUGCGAUACGUAAUGUGAAUUGCAGAAUUCAGUGAAUCAUCGAAUCUAAGAACGCACCUUGCCUCUUUGGUAUUCCGAAGAGUAUGUCUGUUGAGUGUCAUGAAACUCUCAACCCCCUCAUUUUGUAAUGAAGUGAGUCGUGGGCUUGGAUUAUGGCUGGCUGUCGGCUUAAGUGCCGGCUCAGCUGAAAUACACGAGUAACCCAGUUUGAAAAACUGACGGCUUGACUCGGCGUAAUAAUUAUUAUCGCUGAGGACGUCUAACCUUCAAAUCGUUAGGGUGCUUCUAAUGCAAAUCAUUUUAAGAUUUAGACCUCAAAUCAGUCAGGAUUACCCGCGAACUUAAGCAUAUCAAUAAGCGGAGGAA
rnacentral:rRNA from 1 species